ensembl:lncRNA
UACUUAUCAAAUUAAAUAGCUCUGGUCUCCAGUAUAUUGGCGAAUUUGGUUCUUUGUACUUAAUUUAUUAGCAUGAUUUCUUUUUAAUAUGUUGUGUACAGACUUAAUUACUUCUCUGUCUACUUUUCUUACUCCAUGUAGGUUUCCCAGAGACUAUGGGUUGAGGAGGAAUUGGAAGUUUGUCGGCUUAGACCUGGUGUCAUUCCAUCAGUGUUAAACUUCCCGGCUCAUCUUGGAAGAGUACGUGCCAGAAAGACCACAACCAAGCAGCCUUGAGAUCUUAGGCAGCGUCUCCCUGAGGUCCCUCUCUAUCUCCCCACACAUCCACCAACCACUGGAACACAUCUCCAAAUUCUGCUGGACCAGCUCAGCUUCCCCUCAGAAGAAGUGCCACCACCUGCCAGAUGAAGGAGCCUUUUGAGAGGCAGCUGGCAUCGUGAUUGGACUGUACUUUGGUCUGUUCCAAUCCAGCUUCAGCUCCAGAGACGGCAGGCGGGACGAGUCAACGGAGGCCUGGUGGACGAAGGCAUGAAGCUGAGUACAAUCCAGAAAACAACAGAGGAGGAG